rnacentral:rRNA from 1 species
GAUGAACGCUGGCGGCGUGCUUAACACAUGCAAGUCGAACGGAAACAGGAUGAAGCCUAGCGAUUCCUGUUUUAGUGGCGGACGGGUGAGUAACGCGUGGGUAACCUGCCUUACACUGGGGGAUAACAGUUAGAAAUAGCUGCUAAUACCGCAUAAGCGCACAGGGCCGCAUGGCCUGGUGUGAGAAACUCCGGUGGUGUAAGAUGGACCCGCGUCUGAUUAGCUAGUUGGUGAGGUAACGGCCCACCAAGGCGACGAUCAGUAGCCGGCCUGAGAGGGUGAACGGCCACAUUGGGACUGAGACACGGCCCAAACUCCUACGGGAGGCAGCAGUGGGGAAUAUUGCACAAUGGGGGAAACCCUGAUGCAGCGACGCCGCGUGAGUGAAGAAGUAUUUCGGUAUGUAAAGCUCUAUCAGCAAGGAAGAAAAUGACGGUACUUGACUAAGAAGCCCCGGCUAACUACGUGCCAGCCGCCGCGGUAA